rnacentral:rRNA from 1 species
AACGCGAAGAACCUUACCUGGGUUUGACAUCCUUUGAAUACAGUAGAGAUAUUGUAGGCUCGCAAGAGACAAAGAGACAGGUGCUGCAUGGCUGUCGUCAGCUCGUGUUGUGAAAUGUUGGGUUAAGUCCCGCAACGAGCGCAACCCUUGUCUUUGGUUGCCAUAUCGCAAGAUAGCACUCCAGAGAGACUGCCGUCGUCAAGACGGAGGAAGGUGGGGAUGACGUCAAGUCCUCAUGGCCUUUAUAUCCAGGGCGACACACGUGAUACAAUGGUAGGUACAAAGGGCACAACAGCAAGGCGGCGACGCCGAGCUAAUCCCAAAAAGCCUAUCUCAGUUCGGAUUGGAGUCUGCAACUCGACUCCAUGAAGCUGGAAUCGCUAGUAAUCGCGGAUCAGCACGCCGCGGUGAAUACGUUCCCGGGCCUUGUACACACCGCUCGCGA